AGCGAACGCUGGCGGUAUGCUUAACACAUGCAAGUCGAGCGCGAAAGUGACUUCGGUCAUGAGUAGAGCGGCGGACGGGUGAGUAACACGUGGAUAAUCUGCCUUUAGGACUGGGGAUAACCCUGGGAAACUAGGGCUAAUACCGGAUAAGACCACAGGGUUCCAUGGAACCAGGGGUAAAAGGCGGCCUUCGGGCUGUCGCCGAAGAUGAGUCCGCGUCCCAUCAGGUAGUUGGNGAGGUAACGGCUCACCAAGCCGAAGACGGGUAGCCGACC
rnacentral:rRNA from 1 species